AUAAACUUGUGCAGAUUGACGAACCAUCACUGGACGUAGCAGAUCUUAUCAAGCUUGUUUGCAAAAUUUUCUGGUCAUCCAUCUACUUGGAGAUUCCAAAGCAAUUACUUGAUCCAAAUGUGUUCAAUGCUUGGAUGAUGCUUUUCUUAAAUGUUCUGGAGAGGCCCGUACCUAUGGAAGGGCAACCUGUAGAUCCUGAUCUCAGGAAAUCAUGGGGGUGGUGGAAGGUGAAAAAAAUGGACGAUUCAUAUUUUAAAUAUGCUAUACUCUCGGUUUGGAGAUUUAAAACUUAGGAAUCCAGAAAACAGAGCUUUCGCCCAAAUGUUUCAGAAGAAUUAUGCAGGAAAAAUUUGGAAUGCCACUUAAACUUUUUGGAUGUUAUUCGUGUUGGAGGCU